GGGGAAGAUAUUUUGAGUCAGUCUAAGACCGCCUGUCUGUACUCUUUGUGCUCACAGUGUGAAGUACUCUCUAGUUUAAUUCUCAGGGGUGGUGAAUCAGGAUCCAACUGGCAGUUAUGAUCAAUAUCUGUCAAUCAUCUAACUUUGAGCCAAGUGGGCAGCUGGAUACCAGGAUGUAGGACUGUCGAUGGCCUUUUCUCAGUUGUAGAUAAUUAAGAACAUCUGUGAAGAAUCUGAGAGAUCAGAAUGAAAAGAAGAAGAAAAGGAAAAGACAAGAAUGGAAACUACCCAUGAGAAAACCAAAUGGAAUUAAAAUCCACAAACUAAUUUCUCGUAGAGACCACAGAAUACAGAAGACACAUCACUUCCUAGCUUCCUGUAUUCACCUUCACCUAGAUCCCAAAGUCGCUUUUGGAGAAGUUGGUGACCCAGAAAUACUGAUGGGAGAAGAUAUAAUGCACUGAGAAAGGCCUGCUCUUUUGAGCCAAAGAACCAAGAAGGGGGCAGCCUAGCAAAGUAGAAGGGUAAGAAGAGAUGUUGAAUGCAAACAUCAGCUUAAAUGAAGCAGGAGUGCCUGUGUUAAGGUUAGAUAAUGUAUGUUUCAGAGCAAAACAAACUUAUGAGGGAUGGGAGAUAAAAGUUCUCCUAGCACUAGGAAAGCAAAGUAGUGCUCACUGUGUAUGCACCAAAUAAUAGUACUGUAAAAUACGUAAAGCAAAAAUGAUAGAACUCAAAGGAGAAAUAGACAAAUCCAUAACUGUACUUGGAGACUUCAACACUCCUCUUUCCAAAACUGAAAGUAAAACUGGAGAGAAAGCCAGCACAGAUACAGAAAAACAAAGUACUACUAUCAAAUAGGAUUCGAUUUAAUACGACCUGAAAAUGAACCUUAAUACAUUUAAAAUAAUUGAAACCAGGCUGGGUGUGGUGUCCCAUGUCCUUAAUCCCAGCAUUUUGGGAGGCCGAGGUGGGUGGAUCUCUUGAGCCCGAAAGUUCAAGACCAGCCUGACCAACACAGGGAAACCCCAUCUUUACUAAAAAUACAAAAAAUUAACUGGGUGUGAUGGCACAUGCCUGUAAUCCCAGCUGCUGAGAAGACUGAGAAUCAUUUGAACCCAAAAGGCAGAGACUGCAGUUAGCUGAGAUUGUGCCAUUGUACUCCAGCUUGGGUGACAAAAGGAGACUCUGUCUCAAAAAAUAAAAUAAUUGAAAUCAUAGAGUAUGUUCUCUGACCACAAUGGACUCAAACUAGAAACCACUUAUAUAACAUUAACAGGAAAAUCCUCAAAGACUUGGAAAGAAAACAUUACACUCCUAAAUAAUUUAUAGGUCCAAGAGUAAAUCUUUAGGGAAAUAAAAAUGCAUUGAACUGAAUCAACAUACCAAAAUUUGUGGGACACAGCUAAGUCCAUGCUGAGAGGAAAUUUUAUAGCACUAAAUGCAUACAUUAAAAAGAGGAAAAGGAUCAAAUCAGUCAUUUAAGUUCUCAUUUCAACAAAGUAAAAACAGAAGAGCCAAGUAAAUCCAAAGCAAUAGAAGGAAGGAGAUUUUAUAAGAUAAGGGCAGAAAUCAAUGAAGUUGAAAACAGAAACCAGAUAGAAAAUCAAUGAAACAAAUAUCUGGUUCUUUGAAAAGAUCAGUGAAAUGGAUGAACCUCUAGCAAGACUGACAAAGAAAAAGAGAGGGAAGACAUUAAUGAUCAAGAUCAAAGAUGAAGUGGGAUAUUACUACAGACCCUGCAGAAACCACAAGCAUAGGGGAAACAACAACUACAGACAACUCUACAUACACACUUAACAAUUUAGAAGAAAUUGAUCAGUUCCUCAAGACACACAAUCUACUGUAUGUAACUCACCCAGUAUGAAAUAGAUGAUUUGAAUAGCUCUACAGCUACUAAGAAAAUAGACUUUUGGCUGGGCACUAUGGCUCACACCUGUAAUCUCAGUACUUUGGGAGGCUGAGGCAGUUGGAUCACUUGAGGUCAGGAGUUUUAGACCAGCCUGGCCAACAUGGUGAAAUCUCAUCUCUAAUAAAAAUACAAAAGUCAGCUGGUCGUGGUGGCGGGCACCUGUAAUCCUAGCUACAUGGGAGGCUGAGGCAGGAGAAUUGCUUGAAUCUGGGCGGUGGAAUUUGCAGUGAGCCAAGAUUGCACUGCUGCUUUCCAGCCUGGGCAAAAGAAAAAAGAAAGAAAAGAAAAGAACUUUCAAAUUUAAGACCCACACCCCUCACUAUCCAAAAUCUGUAAGCCCAAAUGAUUUCACUGAGGAAUUAUACCAAUUUUUUAAAAAGAAUUCUGUACUACCUCUUCCAGAAAAUAAAAGAGGUUGAAACAUGCUUCUAUUCAUUUGAUGAAGUUAGUCCUACACUGAUACCAAAACCAGAAGUAGACAUUGUUCUUACUGGAGAAAGACAUUGUUUUCUCCCUAAGAUCAGGAACAAGGCAAGAAUGUCCUCUUUCACUGCUGCUAUGCAGCAUAGUACGCGAAGUGUUUACCAGUGCAAUAUGACAAGAAAUGGAAAUUUCAAACAUGCACAUCAGAAAAGAAGAAAUAAAAUUAUUCUCAUUUGUGGAUGAUAUGAUAAUCUUUGUAGCAUAUCCUAAGGAACCUACCAAAUAAAAACCAACCAAACAAAAAAACUCUCUAGGACUGAUACAUGAGUUUUUAACAAAGUUUCGAUUUACAAUACCAACAUACAUAAAUUAAUUGUAUUUCAAUAUGCUAGCAUUGAACAUGUGGAAAUCAAAAUAAAAAAUAGUGACAAUACUAAAUGCUAGUAAGGUUACAGAGAAAAUGGAUCUCUUAAACAUUUGUGAUCUAAUAUAAAAUGGUAGAGUCACUCUGGAAGCUCCUUCAGGCCAGGCCCUGGCAUUGUAUUUAACUUGAACUACAGUAUGGGCAAGUUCUUUGUGACUAUUUUGUAUGUUUUAAGAAUAGUUAAAUGAAAGGUUAGUGCCUAAAUGCCUAGAUAUGGAAGAAAAAAUGAUUAGAUAGUUGCAUCAUUUUCUGUCGGUGGGAACCUAAAACGAAUCAUGCAGUAGUUUGUCAAACAUGCAUUGAACUUCUAUGUUUCAAGCACUAUUCUAGGUGCUGAAAUUAAGUGGUGAACAAACGUACGCUAAGGCUUUUCACAAAGGUGAAAGGUACAAAAAAAAAAAACAAACAUUUGGGCCAGUUGAUCUCAGUCCUGGAAUGAGCAUUAAUGUAUAAUUCUGAGUACCCUCCUCCAUUUAUCUGCAUUAUCAUCACAACCCCAAGCAUCCUAGGGGUCCUAGGACAGGGGCUGUGCCCGCAGGAGAGAGCUUUGUUAGCCAUCUGCCACUACUCUGACUGUUCCUUAUCAUUCAUCUCUUCCUCUGUAAUUAUUUGAGCUGGAGAUGAGCUCUUUCCCCAAGAACCCUUGAUCUCAUCAGUCAGUUGGCAUUAGAAAGGCAAAAAGGCAUGACUCUUCAAACCACCAAAGAACCACAGGCCUUAGUUAUUUGCUGGUGAGAUAAAGAAGCCAACUUUUUAGGCUGAGAGGAGAAAACCUGCUGAGCUCUUACCCCAGGAAGGGAGCCUUUGGGGAUGUGGUAGUAGUGCAUGGCUAUCAGGAGCCAGGGAUGUAUGAAUUUUUUGUUUCUUAAAAUAUGUUUUACUGAGACACAGUUCUUCCAUUAGUGAACAGUCUUGGCAUCUUGGCAUAUACAUACCAAACACCUGUGUGUUUUCAGUGAUUGAUGAUAUUUUCUUCUAUUUCCUUGUGAAACGGCUUUCUUCAGUUUCCCCUGGGCAUUUUGGCAUUGCAAAACAUUUUUGGAUGUCUUUGCAUCUCAAAUCAUAAGGACCAGGGAAGAGGAAGGAAAUAUGUAAUAGUAUCAAGGGGACCUGAAAGGAAAUGUCAGUUUUUCUACUCAAAAGACUCGUGUCUUCACGGGUAAAAGUUGGUGUUCUCUUCUUCACUGUGUAGGCUCAGAGAGGUUAGGCAACUUGUGCAAGCUUUCAUAGUAGAGAGCAGAAGCAGGAUUCAAACCUGCCUCUAAGAGAGGGAGCUAUGGUUCCAUACUACAGGGGCAUGUCACAUGCCAUCCUAAAUGAGUCUGUGUGAGAUCUUCUCUCUCUGAAGUCUUCUGUCUUUAGAAGCCUCCAGUACCAUGGUGGCAACAAUAAGCCUUGUCAGCAUCAUCCCCAGAGGCUGGCAGCUCUAGACACUGCCAAUCCCAUUGUGGUCAUCCACUGACAUCAUUGUCAUACAAACAACAGAGCAAAUUUGGGUGCACCACCAGCAUGACCAACUGAUUUCCAGAGAAGAGAAAACCAGGGCCUUGGAGGGCUUUGCCCAUAGAUAGUCGUUAGAGAAUUCAGUCCUGUCCAGAAGCAAAGCAUAGCUACUAGGACAUGAGUUUUCAAAACUUUUGGUUUUAAACCAAAUAAUUUUUUAAAUCAUUAAGACUCCUUGAUGAUUUUAAAAAUUUUUGAGGACCCAAACAGCUUAAAUGUCUAUGCCUUAUACGACUGGUAUUUAAUAUAUUUGAAAUUUAAACUGAGAUAUUAAAAGAUAAUUAGUCCACUUAACAUAACAAUAAACUCAUUAUAUGUUUACAUUAAAUAAUACAUAUUUUAUACAAAUUAAAUCUUUUUAAAAACAAAAAUAUCUAGUAAAAUGAAUGGCAUUGUCCUUCAUUUCUUGCAAUCUAUAACUUAAUGAAUGCCGAUUGAUAUGGUUUGACUGUGUCCUGACCCAAACCUCAUCUUAAAUUGUAAUUUCCAGAAUCUCUAUGUGUCAUGGGAGGGACCAGGUAGAGAUCAUCAAAUCAUGGGGGUGGUUUCCCCAUCCUGUUCUGGUGAUAGUGAGUUAGUGUUCACAAGAUCUGAUGGUUUUAUGAGGGGUUUCCCCCUUCCCUGGGCACUCAUUCUUCCCCUUCCUGACACCAUGAGAAGGACAUGUUUGCUUCCCCUUCCACCAUGAUUGUAAGUUUCCUGAGGCCUCCCAAGCCCUGCAGAACUGUGAGUCAAUUAAACCUCUUUUCUUUAUAAAUUACCCAGUCUCUGAUAUGUUUUCAUAGCAGUGUGAGAACAGACUAGAACAACAACUAAACUCUUAUAACGACUUCUCUAUUUAGUCUCGUUGUGGUAUGUUGUUCUGGCUGAAGUAAAUGAAGAAAAUCUGGAUUCACACAGACAUUUAGUUGGAGGAUGUAGGAGUAUUUUAUUAGCCUUUCCAGAUGAUUAUGAAUAAUAUGCUUUGAUUCUACACAAACUUGACGAGUGUCAGUUUUUAAAGAUUAGUUGCAAUAUGAAGGUAGAAACCACAUAAAUUUUUUGACCAUUGUUCUAGGUCAUAAGAAGACCAGUAGAUUGGAUCAGCAUUAAAAUAUUCAUAUCUUAGUCUUUCACACCUGUCACACCUGGAUCAAUCAGCUGAAAAGACACAACAAAUACCCAUGCGCCCAGUUGAAUGCCAGAGACACCUGAUGAAUAAGUGUCUCCACCUUCACAGAGCUCACCUUCUAGCUGGGAAGGCAUGGCAAUCAAAAGAACUGGCAAAUUGUGAGGUAUGGACCGUGAAGACCAGAGUGGUUCUACAAACUUACUUUAUUGCCCUGAGUCUUCUACUGAUGUUACAUAUGUCAGUAUUGUCCUUAAUGAGGUCCUUUCUGAUCUUGGCUCAUAUUUUUUUGGCCUGUUGAGAAUCUCUGAAGUUGCAGUGCCACAUUUGGAAUCCCUUAGUACUUAUUGACCUUAGCAACAGAAUCAACAAGCUCAAGUUCAGGCAGUGAAAAGUUCUGCCUGGGAUUUGCAGGAAAAUCUACCAUGUCCCCAUGAGCAUUAGAGCCUCAUGACAUCAGUUUUAUUUUUGUUGAUGUACAAAAACAUAGUGAUCUAAGACUGAUUUUUUAAAAAUUUGAGACUGAGGAUUAUACCAAUUUGCAUGGUUUUACCACAUCAUAAAUUGAUAUAGUGUAAAAUGGUCAAAACAUGGUGUAUUAUCCAUUGGGCCUGAGAUCUGAUUUCAGCUUCAUCUCAUACCAGCUAUGAGCAUUUGGACAAAUUACCUCACCUGUGUGAGCCUCAAUUUUGUUAAGUGAUAAAUGGAGAUAGUUACAGUUAACCUUUAAGUUUGUUAGAUUAUUAAAUGAUUCAAUUCAUGUAAAAACUACCACCAUCCUCAUAAUAGAGAUUUUUCUAGCCCAAGUAGGAAUUAUUUUUAAUAAAUUAUUUUGAUGGCCUUAAGCCUCUACUCAGCCCUCUCAAAUCCUGGCCUUAUGCAAGGACUUCAGUAAUUAAUAAGCUCUCUGAUCACUAUUUGAUGAAUAUCUGCCUUGUAUCCAGCUCUGUGCUGAACAUUUUUUGAGGAAAUAAAACAAACCACACAAUUUUUUUUGCCCUUAAGGAGUAAAUGAUCUAGCCUGAGAGAUAGAAUUUGCAGAUAGAUGCUGUGUAACAAUUUAUAGAAUCUUAAAAAUUGGAGAAGAACUUUAGGAUUUAUUUAUGACAACCUUCCUGCCAAUGAAUAAAUUAAUUUAUGAUGGAAGAUCAAUGAAUAGUAGACCAGCAAAAAGCUGAAUGGCCAUCACUAACAGUGUGCCAAUAAUAGCUAGGAAAAACAUUGUUUGAAUCUUUAUCAUGUUUCAGGCAAUUUUUUAUUGGUGUUUCACAUAUAUCAUUUAUUUAAUCCUUCUGUCAUUCUUAUGAAAGAGGUAUGUUUAUAUCAUUAUUUUUCAGAAGGGGAAACUGAGGCACAGAGAAGUUAAACAAGAGAUCAGAGCACAUAUCUUAGAACAACAUCAAACAAUAUUUUAUGCCAUUCAACAUUUUCUUCAAGAUCAUUUCAUACUCGACUUCAGCCUAUCUACUGUUACAGAUACAGGCUAAUUUUUUAUUUGUCCUUGUUUACGUAUAUUUUAAAUUUAAUCUAAUCAGAUUUUCUUAUGAGGUCGCAUUGGCUUCCUUCAAUGCCUCCAUCUUCCUCCUAAUCACCUUACAAGUUUAGAUGUUGUGAUGGUGUCUUUGACAGUGCAUUUAUUUCAAGCAAAAAAGUUUAGGUCUUUAUGUAUUAAUCACAUUGUGAGUAUUGGUGCAUGCACAUGAAAAGUCCUAAGGAUUAUGUCUACUUCUCCAAACUUUUCUACUGAGAAUUACCUCACCUUUUUCUAAUGCAACAUAUACCUCCUCUACUCUCGAUAGAAUAACAUUUGAGAAUUUCCUUUAAACAUUUUCCUCUUCCUGUUUAAAUUUCAACUUCAAUUUUGCAUGAGCAGGCGGGCGUGUCUCCUGACAAAAGCACUGGUAAUCAGGGGUGUAGGAAUGGGCAAUGAGGAGAAAGCAGCCACAUGGAUACUUUGUCUAAAAGAUGUGCCAACCAGAUUCCAAGUAAUUUUCACUGGAUGGUGACUGAAGCCACCGUAGAGCAGAGACACUGAGCAAGUUUAAAAUUUAGACAAGGGCAACCUCACACCUCCGCUAACAGUAACAACAAAGCAAUCCAAACCAAUCUCUGACCAAUGCAUUGCAAUAAGAUCUCUUCUGAGAGAGGCUGUUUUGCUGCUGAGUUCAUUUUGCCAUUUAGUCUUUAAGGGAUGCCUUUGAAAUAAUUCUGAUAUUAAAUAAAAACCAACAAACUUCUGUCAACUUAAAUAAAGAAAAUGUGUUACCUAUACACCAUGGAAUACUAUGCAGCCAUAAAAAGAAUGAGACCAUGGCUGGGCAGGGUGACCCAUACCUGUAAUCCCAGCACUUUGGGGGGCCAAGGUGGGUAGAUCACUUGAGGUCAGGAGUUUGAGACCAGUCUGGCCAACAUGGUGAAACUCAUGUAAUAAAAAUACAAAAAUUAGCUGAGCAUGGUGGCGUGCGCCUGUAAUCCCAGCUACUUGGGGGGCUGAGGCAUGGGAAUAGCUUAACCUCUGGAGGCAAGGACUGUCUUGAGCUGAGAUUACACCACUGCACCUUGGCUGACAGAGUGAAACCCUGUCUCAAAAAAAAAAAAAAAAAAAUGAGAUCAUGUUCUUUGCAGGAACAUGGAGUUGGAGGCCAUUAUCCUUAGCAAACUAAGGCCAGAACAGAAAGCCAAAUACCACAUGUUCUCACUUACUAGUAGGAGCUAAAUGAUAACACAUGGACACAUAGAGGGGAACAAAAUACAUUGAGGCCUACCAGAGGGUGAAAGACAGGAGGAGGGAGAGGAUCAAGAAGAAUCACUAAUGGGUACUAGGCUUAAUACCUGAGUGACUAAACAAUAUGUACAAGAAACCCCUGUUACAUGAGUUUACCUAUAUAACAAACCUGCACAUGUACCCCUGAACCUAAAAUAAAAGUUUAAAAAAAUCACAGUUUGGAAAGGACACUUUAUUUCUUGUAAAGGGCUAUAGCUUCCAAGAUGGCCAUCCUGACAGGCUGGGAAGUAUAGCCUCUGGUUGAAACCCAGAAAUAGUACUUCCAAGGAGGAAGGGUUGAGGUUGGAACUUUAUACUAAAAGGGUUGGCUAAACAUACAUAUUCAACAGAUUAUAGGAAGGGAUAUGAAUAUGAAUGAAGCGAGUCCUGACACAUGCAUACUGAACAAACACCGGGUUACAUACAACUUAUAUUCGCCUUGGGGUGGAGACUUAACAUUUAAGUGUGUUAUAAUUAGGCCUUGUAGGUCAGAAG